rnacentral:rRNA from 1 species
UAGGGAAUAUUGGACAAUGGGGGCAACCCUGAUCCAGCCUUGCUGCGUGAGUGAAGAAGGCCCUCGGGUUGUAAAGCUCUUUUGUCCGGAAAGAAAAGCAUUCGGUGAAUACCCGGAUGUUCUGACGGUACCGGAAGAAUAAGCACCGGCUAACUUCGUGCCAGCAGCCGCGGUAAUACGAAGGGUGCAAGCGUUACUCGGAAUUACUGGGCGUAAAGCGUGCGUAGGUGGUUGUUUAAGUCUGAUGUGAAAGCCCUGGGCUCAACCUGGGAAUGGCAUUGGAAACUGGGCAGCUAGAGUGCGGUAGAGGGUAGUGGAAUUCCCGGUGUAGCAGUGAAAUGCGUGGAGAUCGGGAGGAACAUCUGUGGCGAAGGCGACUGCCUGGACCAGCACUGACACUGAGGCACGAAAGCGUGGGGAGCAAACA